UACGGAGGAUCCAAGCGUUAUCCGGAUUUAUUGGGUUUAAAGGGUGCGUAGGUGGUUUUUUAAGUCAGGGGUGAAAGACGGCAGCUUAACUGUCGCAGUGCCUUUGAUACUGAAGAACUUGAAUCCACUAGAGGUAGGCGGAAUGUGACAAGUAGCGGUGAAAUGCAUAGAUAUGUCACAGAACACCAAUUGCGAAGGCAGCUUACUAUGGCGGUAUUGACACUGAGGCACGAAAGCGUGGGGAUCAAACAGG
rnacentral:rRNA from 1 species